CUUAUCCCUCAUAUUUUCUCCUCUUCGUGAAGCCGCGGCCCCUUUUUUCUCUUCUUCUCUGUUCAACCUCCUCCGUCGACUGCCGCGUACGUCAUGUUGUCGACACCCAAGCCCAAGCCGAAGCAGUUCAUCGAUAGCUAAGUCAUCGCGUACCAUUUUCUUUCCUCACGUCCGUUAGUCACCGACCUUGGAGCGUCAGUUGUCGAGUCUCUGUCACGUUUCCUCAUCUGACCGAGUCAUCCACCAGAUCCACGUCGUUUGGUCUCCAUGUAAGCUUCCUUUGUGAGCUGCACACACCGAUCUUCUUCUCUAAGUUGGCUGCUCGAAUCUAUUGCACGCUUUCCUUCGUGUUAUUCUCGAACGUCGCUGUCCCUUCACCUUGUCGUGAACUAUUCGGUUCUGCUUGGGUAUAAAUUGAAUCAGCAAGGGAAUCCUUGUGUUUUCAAAAGGUUUAGGGUGGAGUUCGAUUCUCCAUCUGCUUGGGUGUCUCACAGGAUCACCACCUAUUGUGCAUCCUGUGGAGCACUAGACUGAUAGGUGCAUCAUUCGAGAGCACUAAAUUGAUAGGUGCAUCCUUCAGGAGCACUAGAAUGACAUGUGCAUUCUUUAGGAGCAUUAGACUGAUUAUGUGCAUCCUAUGAGAUCACAAGACUAUUACGAGGCAUGGCAAAGGUAAUACUAGAGGCAGACCAACAAGGGACAAGCAGGAGACAAAACUUUCUUUCAAUAUUGCUUCUGCUUAAACUUUCUUUCAAGCAGGACACUAGACUGAUAUGUACGUCCCUCGGGGCGUUAGACUGAGAUGUGUAUCCUACGGAAUCACAAGACUGCGACUGU